rnacentral:tRNA from 1 species
GUCGGAGUGGCGGAACGGCAGACGCGCCAGGUUGAGGGCCUGGUGCCCCGAAGGGGCGUGAGGGUUCAAAUCCCUCCUCCGACACCA